ACCCGGAACCCGACCCCCGCCCCCAGGCCAGUUCCGGUUCCGCCGCCCCGUAAUCCGCUCGAGCCGCGCCAAACACCAUGGUUUAUUGUAGGUGCAGGUGGAGUACGUGAUGGAGAAGCCCGGCCUCAGCGCCGACCAUCCCCUCCUCCCCGCAUGUAUCUUCGUUGCCAUCCGUUGCACAUGCCCACCAUGCCGGCGAAGCUUCCGCUCUACCUGCAUAAACAGAUUAACGCCUUAUUCCUGGAUUGGUUCUUGUGAUCACAAACCUGGAGACAUACAAGAUCGAUGAGAUGGAUUGCUGUUUCAUGAAGUUUACCAGGUUGGUGCUCAUGCCAUGGUGGUAUGCCAGCUGCUUGCAGCAUGCGUUAGCAAUCAACACCAGGACUCCAUAAAGACCCAAAGAGAGGCAGAGCAACAAUGAAGGUAUGUAUAUACCGAGCAUGUAGGGGCAGCCUGGAAGUUGCCGGCAUUCUUCAGGUUGCUCUUGAUGUCCACGUUGAGCAUAGGUAUCCUAAUAUGCUAUGCAUUUGAGUUCUAAUUACAAUCAUAAAUAGUUUGCUUUGCAGAACUAUCAAACUUCUUAAAUUAACAAGUUGACAACCUUUGAAUGUGUAGAACAGUAGUGAGGAGAUUGUUGUCGAGCUUACAAACCACUAUGCCCAGCAUGCACAUAUCUGAUUUCCUCUUCUAGACUGUCCAAACCACUAUGCCGAGCUUAGAAACCACUAUGCCUCCCAUGUAUAGCAUGUUGGCUUUUUUACAUCCAGAAAAAGACAGUCCAUACAACACCCAUGGUCAAUUAUUGUCAACGGAUGUUUGUUUUGUACACAACAUUUUCUAAAUUAAUGUCAAACUUCAACAGAUAUAUACUUCUAACAAAGUCAAACAUGCUACACGCAUAGCAUUUUCUUAGAUCGAUGGUAUAUAAGGUUUGAAUAAUAAUUGUGGGUUCUCACGUACAGACUUGAAUAAUAAUUGUGGGUUCUCACGUACUAUAUAUAAUGUAAGAGAAACUAUAUGGAUGAUAUAUCAUUAGAAAAAAUGAAAGAAUUAUGAUGGAUAUUAGUUUGCUCGAAAUGAUUACUCCACUACAAUGCUUCUCAUAGCUUUACAGUUCUGUGAUGCAAGCAUAUGUGUUCUGGAGCCUUUUUUGCCAGGGAACUCUGAAGCAUGUAGUUGAAGUAAAUAUUGUAUAGUCAGAGACAAUCUUUGCAUAUUCAGGAGCAGACUGCACCGCAAGCUGCUGGUGCAAAAACACAAUUGGCACCGUACAGCAGGCAAAGCUUCACUACAGAGUUCUGCAUAGGGAUAUGCGUUUUGCUGACCUUUUUUCAAUGAUGCAAAUAGAAUUUAAUACAUGUUCUCGUUGUGCCAACGAUUUAUGUGCUAUGCAUUGGUUUGUAAUUUUUUCUGCAUUUGGUAUGAAAUUCAUCACUCGCUUUUGAUUGCUUUUUUCCCAAUGAGAGGCCUUGCUAAUAGAUUGUCAUCUCUCAUUGUACUAUGAUUGUGAAAGAUGCAAUAUCUUUAGUCUUUACUGCAACGACAUCCUCCAACAAGGUGUAUCGAAUGCAUUCUAGGACCUCAGACACAAAGGUGGAUCCAUUAUUGUGAAGAUGAGCAAGUAGUUGAAUGUUUUGUAAAGAACAAAUUCCAGAACAGAAACAUGAUGAGAUGGUUCAAGCACGUCACAGCUCUAAUAAUCAUGGUACAACAGUAAUAUCUAAAUAUUUCACUUAUCUAAAAUGCUUGUCUUAUUUUACUUUUUAUUAGUCAAGCCCGAGUAA